UACGUAUGGUGCAAGCGUUAUCCGGAUUUACUGGGUGUAAAGGGAGCGCAGGCGGCACGGCAAGCCUGAUGUGAAAGCCCGCGGCCCAACCGCAGGACUGCAUUGGGAACUACCGGGCUGGAGUGCCGGAGAGGUAGGCGGAAUUCCUAGUGUAGCGGUGAAAUGCGUAGAUAUUAGGAGGAACACCAGUGGCGAAGGCGGCCUACUGGACGGUGACUGACGCUGAGGCUCGAAAGCGUGGGGAGCAAACAGG
rnacentral:rRNA from 1 species